AGCGAACGCUGGCGGUAGGCCUAACACAUGCAAGUCGAACGAAGUCUUCGGACUUAGUGGCGGACGGGUGAGUAACACGUGGGAACGUACCUUUUGGUUCGGAACAACUCAGGGAAACUUGAGCUAAUACCGGAUGAGCCCUUAGGGGGAAAGAUUUAUCGCCGAAAGAGCGGCCCGCGUUAGAUUAGCUAGUUGGUGAGGUAAAGGCUCACCAAGGCUACGAUCUAUAGCUGGUCUGAGAGGAUGAUCAGCCACACUGGGACUGAGACACGGCCCAGACUCCUACGGGAGGCAGCAGUGGGGAAUCUUGCGCAAUGGGCGAAAGCCUGACGCAGCCAUGCCGCGUGAAUGAUGAAGGUCUUAGGAUUGUAAAAUUCUUUUACCAGGGACGAUAAUGACGGUACCUGGAGAAAAAGCCCCGGCUAACUUCGUGCCAGCCGCCGCGGUAAGAC
rnacentral:rRNA from 1 species